UGCUCAGAGCGAACGCUGGCGGCAGGCUUAACACAUGCAAGUCGAACGGGCGUAGCAAUACGUCAGUGGCAGACGGGUGAGUAACGCGUGGGAACGUACCUUUUGGUUCGGAACAACUGAGGGAAACUUCAGCUAAUACCGGAUAAGCCCUUACGGGGAAAGAUUUAUCGCCGAAAGAUCGGCCCGCGUCUGAUUAGCUAGUUGGUGAGGUAAUGGCUCACCAAGGCGACGAUCAGUAGCUGGUCUGAGAGGAUGAUCAGCCACAUUGGGACUGAGACACGGCCCAAACUCCUACGGGAGGCAGCAGUGGGGAAUAUUGGACAAUGGGCGAAAGCCUGAUCCAGCCAUGCCGCGUGAGUGAUGAAGGCCCUAGGGUUGUAAAGCUCUUUUGUGCGGGAAGAUAAUGACGGUACCGCAAGAAUAAGC
rnacentral:rRNA from 1 species